AGUGAACGCUGGCGGCGUGCCUAAUACAUGCAAGUCGAACGAAGUGGCGAACGGGUGCGUAAUCUAUAGUUAAUCUGCCCUACACAGAGGAAGAACAGCUGGAAACGACUGCUAAUACCUCAUAGUGUAGGAUGAGACAAUAUCGUAUCAGCUGGUUGGUAAGGUAAUGGCUUAACAAGGCUAUGACGCGGAACUGGUCUGAGAGGAGUAUCAGUCACAUUGGAACUGAGGAACGGUCCAAACACCUACGGGAAGGAGCAGUAAGGAAAAUUGCGCAAGGGGGGUGUCCCUGACGCAGCAACGCCGCGUGGAGGAUGACACUUUUCGGGGCGUAAACGCAUUUUAGCAGGAUAGCGUUACCUGAUGAAUAAGCACCGGCUAACUCCGUGCCAGCAGCCGCGGUAAUUC
rnacentral:rRNA from 1 species